GGAGUCUGGGCCGUAUCUCAGUCCCAAUGUGGCUGUUUUGCCUCUCAGCACAGCUACUGAUCGUUGCCUUGGUAUGCCAUUACCAUACCAACUAGCUAAUCAGACGCAAACUCAUCUAUAAGCGAAUUGCUCCUUUCCUAUGUUAAUCAUGCGAUUAUCAUAAAUUAUGCGGUAUUAGCAAUGAUUUCUCACUGUUGUUCCCCACUUAUAGGUAGAUUAUUUACGUGUUCCUCACCAGUCCGCCACUAACACUUUAAUAAGAUAAACAUAUUAAAGUGUCCGUUCGACUUGCAUGUCUUAUGUGCGCCGCCAGCGUUUAUC
rnacentral:rRNA from 1 species